ACGUGUACAUAAACAUAUUGUGCUGGUUCAGAAGGAAAGAGGAAUUUUGUGUAUUUGUCCUGAAAUAUGAACAUCAUCCAUUACUACGAUUCAGGUUGGGAAUAAUAUUCUCUGUCAAAUUUCAAUGACAUUGGCUAAGCAUCCAAUAGUGCAAGAUACAUUGUUCAGCGAGUGUGGUCAUCAAUGGAUAACCUAGAAAACCAAUUGGGAAAAGAAGAAAGCCAGAAACGACUGAUAGAAGAGCAAAAGGUUUCCUUGUCUGAUGUAGAUGCCAAUACCAGCACACUACCCCAUCGGUUCUGUUACAGGGGAGUACUUGUUGGCACCAAACAAUAGUCUGAACGAAACGGGGAUUUCCCCGGACACUUUGAGCUUCCGGGUCUGAACGGAAAGACCCGAAGUUCUGCGAAUCCUCGAUCGAUCCAAUCGAUGCUGCAACUCAGUGUUUCAUCAUGUUCUAAUUUCCACUUUGUUAUUUUAAAGUCACUUAUUAAACGUACUAUAUUCUUCGCUGUGUAUGUCAUAUUUUAAUAAAUUGAUUUAGCAAGG